GCAGGCGCGUAAAUUACCCAUUUCGGAUCACGAGAGGUAGUGACAAGAAAUCACAACAUUUGCCUUAAAGGUAAAUAUUUGUACUGAGAACAAAUUAGAUAUUUUAUCGAUAAACAAUUAGAGGGCAAGUCUGGUGCCAGCAGCCGCGGUAAUUCCAGCUCUAAUGGUGUAUGCUAACAUUGUUGCAGUUAAAAAGCUCCUAGUCGAAUAUGUUAGGGAAUCAUUUUUAUGUGAUCUUAUUCAACUACCAAGAAAUUCGAUUAUUCCUAUUAUUCGAAGAUGCAAGGUUGGAAUUUAUUUUCCAAUCAUUGAAAUAAUGUAAUUUUACUUUGAAAAAAAUAGAGUGUUUUAGACAAUCUUAUGGAUGUAUAUUAAAGCAUAGAAUGGUAGAUAAUGACAUCAGUUAAAUGUCUGAUGGUUUGAGAGGUUGAUGUAAUGAUUUAUAGAGUUUGUCGAAGAUAUUAGUAUUUUGUCGUUAGAGGUGAAAUUCUGGGAUCGACAAAAGAUUACCAAGAGCGGAAGCAUUUGCCUAGAAUUUCCUCUUUGAUCAAGAACGUAAGUUGAGGGAUCGAAGACGAUCAGAUACCGUCGUAGUGUCAACUGUAAACUAUAUUAGCUAGGUGUUGGCAAAUGUUUAAAUGUCUUUGUCAGAACAUUGAGAGAAAUUAAAGCAUUUGGAUUCCGGGGGGAGUAUGGUUGCAAGGCUGAAACUUAAAGGAAUUGACGGAAGGGCACCACAAGAUGUGGAUCCUGUGGCUUAAUUUGACUCAACACUGAAAAAUUUACCUGGUCCGGACAUAGCUUAGAUUGAUAGAUUGGUAGGUCUUCCUUGAUUUUAUGGGUGGUGGUGCAUGGCCGUUCUUAGUUGGUGGAGUGAUUUGUCUGGUUAAUUCCGUUAACGAACGAGACUAUUACUUGCUAAAUAGUAUAAUCACUCCUGUAGGAUUGUAGCUUCUUAGAGGGACUGGCUUUUCAUGAAUCGCUUGAAGUUAGUAGCAAUAACAGGUCUGUGAUGCCCUUAGAUGUCCUGGGCGGCGCACGGGCUACAAUAGGAGAGUAAUUUAGCUUACUCUACUUAGCUCGAAAAAUGCUAUGAAAUCUUUAAACGAUUCUUUAUUUGUAAUCAUGCUUUGAAAUUUUAACAUGUAAACUAGGAAUAUCCAGUAAGUGUUUGUCAUCAACUUGCACUGAAUACGUCCCUGCCCUUUGUACACACCGCCCGUCGCUCCUACCGAUUGGAUGUGUUGGUGAGUGAUUUGGAGAAAUGGCUAUUUUCUUGAUUAGAUGGUAGUACAAUUUUUAAAAUUUGCAAGCUAGAUUAUCUAGAGGAAGGAGAAGU
rnacentral:rRNA from 1 species